CAGAAAGUAGUUUAAUAAAAAUUUAGGUUUUGGAAAUCUAUGAUGCCCGAUAGGUCUUUCUGA
rnacentral:tRNA from 1 species